rnacentral:rRNA from 1 species
UGAGUAACUGCGCUCCUGAGCUGGUUGUACCCGGUUUUCCAUGGUUUGCUUUAAUCGGCAGGCUGUGGUGGCUGGUGUGUUUACCUUGAAUAAAUCAAAAUGCUCAAGAUAGGCGUCUCGGCAGAAAUGACAGUGCAUGAGAAUAAUGGAAUAAGACUUUCGGUUUUAUUCUGUUGUCUUGGAAACCGAUUUAAUGGUUAGAGGGACUGACGGGGGCAUUUGUAUCGAUGCGUGAGAGGUGAAAUUCUUGGACCGCAUCGAGACAAACUACUGCGAAAGCAUUUGCCAAGAAUGUCUUCAUUAAUCAAGAACGAAAGUCAGAGGAUCGAAGGCGAUUAGAUACCGCCCUAGUUCUGACCGUAAACGAUGCCAACUAGCGAUCAGGCGGUGGCUAUUAAACCCUGCCUGGGAGCUUCCCGGAAACGAAAGUCUUCGGGUUCCGGGGGUAGUAUGGUUGCAAAGCUGAAACUUAAAGGAAUUGACGGAAGGGCACCACCAGGAGUGGAGCCGCGGCUUAAUUUGACUCAACACGGGAAAACUCACCCGGCCCGGACACUGUAAUGAUUGACAGAUUGAGAGUUCUUUCUUGAUUCGGUGGUUGGUGGUGCAUGGCCGUUCUUAGUUGGUGGAGUGAUUUGUCUGGUUUAUUCCGAUAACGAACGAGACUCUAACCUGCUAAAUAGUUCUGCAGUAGCUUCGCUGCAGCAACUUCUUAGAGGGAUCAGUGG